rnacentral:lncRNA from 1 species
UCCUCUACUGGAUAGAUAAGAGAAUUGGGGUACUCGGUUUCGCCCAUUCUCUUAAGAGUUGAGAAGGCAAAGGUUACUUGACUUCGCCUACCUCCUCGAGGUUGUACUCCAUGCAUCGAGUUGGUUACUAGUCUUCGCCUGCUCUUUGCUUACACUUCUGAAGCACUUGAAGUGUUUGCACUCCUUGCAUUGAGUUAGCUACUGUGAUUCACCUUCUCAAUGCCAUCGAACUUCUGGAAUGCCGGAAGUUUUCACCCCAACUUGGAGUAAUUCUCUGAUAGAUUUGGUCGCCUCUGGAAUUGUACCGUCUUCUCCAUCAACCCUGCCGCCUACUCCACUGAGUAGAAAAGGUACAACACCGCGUACUGCCUGCUUCGUUCCUUGAUCGUGCACUCUUGCAUGACCCGAAGUUCUUC